CCAGUUGGUCGGAGAACCGCGCUGUCCGUAAGGCCAGUGAGGAAAGUCCGGACUUCACGGAAACAGGAUGCCGGUUAACGACCGGGCGGGGCGACCCGACGGAAAGUGCAACAGAAAGAAAACCGCUGGCCUUCGGGCCAGUAAGGGUGAAACGGUGCGGUAAGAGCGCACCACUCGUCUGGCAACAGACAGGUACGGCAAACCCCAUCCGAAGCAAGACCAAAUAGGGGUUACACAUGAUCUGUUUCCGGAUCGUGACCCGGGUAGGUUGCUAGAGGUCUGUGGCAACACAGAUCGGAGAGGAAUGGUUCUCGUCUUUGUGCAAACAGGGAUACAGAAUCCGGCUUAUAGGCCGACUGGCAUU
rnacentral:RNase_P_RNA from 1 species